CACGGGUGAGUAACACGUGAGUAAUCUGCCCCUAAGUCAGGAAUAACAUUGCGAAAGCGAUGCUAAUACCUAGGUAAGCCCACGACUUCCUCGGAAGACGCGGGAAAAGGUGGCCUCUGACAUAAGCUAUCACUUAGGGAUGAGCUCGCGGACCAUUAGCUUGUUGGUAGGGUAACGGCCUACCAAGGCGAUGAUGGUUAGCUGGCCUGAGAGGGUGGCCAGCCACACUGGAACUGAGACACGGUCCAGACUCCUACGGGAGGCAGCAGUGGGGAAUCUUGCGCAAUGGGGGAAACCCUGACGCAGCAACGCCGCGUGAGUGACGAAGGCCUUCGGGUCGUAAAGCUCUGUCAGAUGGAAAGAAUUAACGUGCUGAAAAUAUUGUCACGUGAUGACGGUACCAUCAGAGGAAGCACCGGCUAACUCCGUGCCAGCAGCCGCGGUAA
rnacentral:rRNA from 1 species